rnacentral:SRP_RNA from 1 species
GCUGGGCAUGGUGGUGCAAACCUGUAGUCCUAGCUACUUUGGAGGCUGAGAUUGGAGGAUUGCUUGAGCCCAGGAGGUCGAGGCUGCAGUGAGCUAUAAUGUUGUCACUGCACUCCAGCCUAGGCAACAGAGUGAGACCCUGUCUCUA